rnacentral:rRNA from 1 species
GACGAACGCUGGCGGCGUGCUUAACACAUGCAAGUCGAGCGGAAAGGCCACUUCGGUGGUACUCGAGCGGCGAACGGGUGAGUAACACGUGAGUAAUCUGCCCUUGGCUUUGGGAUAGCCACCGGAAACGGUGAUUGAUACCGGAUAUGACCACUUCACGCAUGUGAUGGUGGUGGAAAGUUUUUCGGCCAGGGAUGUGCUCGCGGCCUAUCAGCUUGAUGGUGAGGUAAUGGCUCACCAUGGCUUCGACGGGUAGCCGGCCUGAGAGGGUGACCGGUCACACUGGGACUGAGACACGGCCCAGACUCCUACGGGAGGCAGCAGUGGGGAAUAUUGGACAAUGGGCGGAAGCCUGAUCCAGCAACGCCGCGUGAGGGAUGACGGCCUUCGGGUUGUAAACCUCUUUCGCCUAUGACGAAGCGCAUGUGACGGUAAUAGGUAAAGAAGCACCGGCCAACUACGUGCCAGCAGCCGCCGUAACAC